rnacentral:rRNA from 1 species
GGCAUAAUGCUCAGUAACACGUCGAUAAUCUGCCCUUAGGUCAGGGAUAACCUCGGGAAACUGAGAGUAAAACCUGAUAGGAGAUAAAAUCUGGAAGGAUUUAUCUCUUAAAAGCAAUGCCUAAGGAUGAGUCGGCGGCGGAUUAGGUUGUUGGUGGGGUAAAGGCCCACCAAGCCGAAGAUCCGUACGGGCCUUGAGAGAGGGAGCCCGGAGAAGGGCACUGAGAUACUGGCCCUAGCCCUACGGGGUGCAGCAGGCGCGAAAACUUUACAAUGCACGUAAGUGUGAUAAGGGAAUCCCAAGUGCUUAUGCAAAGCAUAGGCUUUUGCCAAAAGUAAAUAUUUUGGCGAAUAAGUGGUGGGCAAGACCGGUGCCAGCAGCCGCGGUAACCCCGGCGCCACAAGUGGUGAUCGAAUUAUUGGGUCUAAAGCGUCCGUAGCCGGUUUAGUAAAUCUUUUGUGAAAUUGUUAGGCUUAACCUAACAACGUGCAGAAGACACUGCUAAACUAGAGAUCGGGAGAGGUUUGGAGAAUGCCAGGGGGAGCGGUAAAAUGCUAUAAUCCCUGGUAGACUACCAGUGGCGAAGGCGCCAAACCAGAACGAGUCUGACGGUGAGGGACGAAAGCUAGGGGAGCAAUCCGGAUUAGAUACCCGAGUAGUCCUAGCUGUAAACGCUGCGAGCUAGGUGUUGUGUAUCCUUCGUGGAUAUGCAGUAUCGAAGUGAAGAUGGUAAGCUCGCCACCUGGGGAGUACGGUCGCAAGACUGAAACUUAAAGGAAUUGGCGGGGGAGCACCACAAGGGGUGCGGCGUGCGGUUUAAUCUAAUUCAACGCAGAGAAUCUCACCAGGGGCGACGGCAGGAUGAAAGUCAGAUUAAAGGUCUUACUUGAUGAGCCGAGAGGUAGUGCAUGGCCGUCGUCAGCUCGUGCUGUAAGGUGUCCUGUUAAGUCAGGCAACGAGCGAGACCCAUACCUACAAUUGCUAACGGGUUCUUUGGAACGACUGAGCACAUUGUAGGGACUGCCUUGGAAACAAGGAGGAAGGUGUGGGCUACGGUAGGUCUGUAUGCUCCGAAUCUCCUGGGCGACACGCGCGCAACAAUGGUAAGGACAAUGGGAUACGACUCCGAAAGGAGAAGUUAAUCCUCGAAACCUUAUCUUAGUCUGGAUUGAGGGAUGUAACCCGCCCUCAUGACACUGGAAUCCCUAGUAAUCGGACGUCAUCAUCGUCCGGUGAAUAUGUCCCUGCUCCUUGCACACACCGCCCGUCAAGCCACCCGAGUAGGGUCUAGAUGAGGCCUUAUUUUUAGUAAUGUCGAAUCUAGGCUUUGCGAGGAGGGCUAAGUCGUCACAAGGUA